CCCCAUCUCAUUUGCAAGUGCCUGCCAGGAAAACUGAUGGUUUCCAGUUUCCCCUGGUUAACUAAAUCCUUCAAGCCAAGGCUUUCGUAAAGAACAAAAUCUUCCAUUUCAAUGUUUUCUCCUGUCGUUUCAUUAAUCCAACCAAAUCCAGUCGAAUAUGGUGGCUCUACAAUAUCGUCACGUUCAAACGACACGGCAACCAAAUUGUCCAACUCUUUCAACUUUUCGAUAUUUCUAGUGUAGUUGUCAUGUAGUACUUCGUUGUUUAAAUGAGUCAAAAACUUGUUGUUUUCCAAAUACUUGUCAUAUUGCUUCUCCGUGCGGUAGUACUGUGCUUGCACGACGUGAUUUUGUAUCCAUGAAUGCCAUAUACCCAGUCCAAGAAUUGAAUGAACAACAGCCUUACAAAUCAAAUUAGUAGGAGAGCAACCUGGUAUUGUAUUGAUUCCUGAAUGCGGAGAACCCAAUGUAAUAAGUGAGCGAAUUUUUGCCGCAUCGCAUGUCUGGGCUAAAGCUCUCAAAAACAAUCCUCCUUGGCUUAAUCCAAGCGCAUAAAAUCCGUUGGAAAGGGAAUCUUCAUUUCCUAUCAAAUCACAGACUUCAUCCAAUUGAUCCUCUAGCUUACCUAAGUAGCCAGCUUUUAUGUCUUCAAAUUCGUUGUCACCGACGCGGAUAGCAUAUACCGCACCUUUAGUUAGUUUCUGAACACGCUGGCUAACCUCUGUAAGAGUAAAACUAGUGGGAGUAUCGCCCAAGCCAUGCCAAAUCACCACAGGUAAUUGUUCAGAAGCUCCGUCAUUAAUAGCUAGUCGGACCUUAUCCAAACUAAUAAUUGGUAUUGCAAAACUUUUCAUAGGUAAAAGAACCCAAGAGAAUAGAAAAAAGAUUAAAAAUGAGCUACAGCUCAACAUGGCGAAAAUAAAGAGUGUUGAAUACGGUUCAGAAAAUUACCCAAGG